rnacentral:sRNA from 1 species
AAAACAGCUAAACCACCAACAAAGAAAC